AAACCAUAAAUUGGACACUCGAGUAUCUAUUUCCGAAAAUGCAAUCAAGCCUCAUGAAGAGGUUCACCAACAUUUUGAUGAAAGUUUGUUAUCACAUCUGAGAGU
rfam:Solanum lycopersicum cultivar Heinz 1706 chromosome 5, whole genome shotgun sequence.